rnacentral:rRNA from 1 species
UACGUAGGGGGCAAGCGUUGUCCGGAAUCAUUGGGCGUAAAGCGCGUGUAGGCGGCUUGGUAAGUCCGCUCUGAAAGCCCGGGGCUCAACCCCGGGAGGCGGGUGGAUACUGUCAAGCUCGAGUCCGGAAGAGGCGAGUGGAAUUCCUGGUGUAGCGGUGAAAUGCGUAGAUAUCGAGAGGAACACCUGCGGCGAAGGCGGGUUGCUGGGCUGACACUGACGCUGAUGCGCGAAAGCCAGGGGAGCGAACGGG